ACUUCCCUGGGGCGCAGUCCAGGAGGGGUUCCAAAAGGUAGCAUCAGGUAUUCUGAAUUAAGUGAGGGGUGAUGACAGCUGCAGAAUUGGCUCGGGUGUAAGUUCGUGUAGAAGCCCUACGGAAAGUCACAUAAACAGGAAGGGAGUCAUGAUGUACUAGUCUGGGCUUGAACUGAUGCUUUAAUUGUUCUUCAUUCUGGCAGCAUGAGUGGUGCUUAAAAGUGCUCUUGGCGUUUUUCUGCAAAAGUUUCCUUUACUUAAAAAUUAUGGUUUCCUGCAUAGUGCUGCCUUUGGCUUCGUUGAGCUCUUUGGUAUCACUUUUUGGAUUUGGUAGCCCUAGUUGUCUUUUUUGGGGCCCUCGGUUGCUAUGACUGCCAGGGCCCGCUUGACUGCGGGAGCCCAUUGCACCCCGAGAGGAAGGGCACGGCCUUGGCGAUGUGAAAGUUGUGGUCUUUGAAGCCGCCAGCCUCUGCAUCCCUCUUCUUGGGGUGUCAGGGGCUCAUAAAUCCCGGUAAUACGCCAGGGAUUGGGAAUUACAGGGAGGAGCUUCUCCGCCAUUGCUGCCUCGAGGCGGCCGCGCUGCUGGGAAGCGGCGGCUCCUCUCUCCUCUUUCCUCCGAACAGUAAUGUUUCAUGCGGAAGGCCGCCCCAAGGGAAGGCAGGAAUGCAGCGCCGGGAGCCUCCCAGUGAGACUGUGUAAGGGUUGGGGACGGGUUUUCUUUAUUCUUUUAAUCGUCCCUCGAGAACUGAGGCGAGGAAAACUCUGCUUUUUGGGGUUUGGUGAGUUUUUGGGUUUUUUCCCCACCCUUAUGUUUCUAUUUUUUCUUUAGUUUUUUUUUUUCUUCGGUGUUCUGCCUCAGGAGUCGGAGGGGUGAGUCACUGGGGCGUUGUGUUAAUGGAAAAUGUUUUUCAAGCAGAGGGAGAUAACGUGGGAGUGCCCGGCUGAAAUCUUGCUUGGAGACAAGAUAAGAAUCGUGGGUCUGUUUCUAAGCGGUAUAUAAUUCUUAAACAAUUUUCAGGUUGAGUUGUUUUCCUUUGCUUGUUUUUUUUUUUUGUGUGUUUUUUUUGUUUGUGUUUUUAUGGCGUUUUGGUUUGUUUGAUGGGUUUUUUCCAUAUUUAUUAUUUUGGCUUUCCCUUUGCUUUCCCAAAAUAGGCAGAGGACUUUUUUUUUUUUCCCCUGCCUUUUUAAAAUAAUCUCUGUUCUGCUGGAAGAAAUUGCAUUAGAUAUUAAUCAUCUACCAUUCAGAGCUGGACUUUGAAAGAGCAGUCACUGCAGGACUUUAUUAGUAACCAUUCUGAAAUUUGAGGCUGGGAUUAGGUUUAUCUACUUCAGGAUUUUUUGUUUGUUUGUUUCAUAAUCUCAAUUUUGCUGUAUUUUGCAUAUUUGGCAAAAUGACCUUGCAUUGGUGUAUAUUUAGUAGAGAAGAAAGAGAUUAUGUGGGCCUGGAGAAAGGAAUUGAUUUGUACAGGGUUCUGAUUGGGCCAUUUGAAAAUCCUGAAACAGAGGCCUCCCGGCUUUCAUUUUUGCCCUUGAAAACACGGUAUGAGGAGGGAGCAUUUCUCUUCAAGAGUAAUGUUCAUAUUUCCUUCUCAGGCACUUCAGUAUUUAUGUUCUGCUUCUCUUGGAAAUUGUUUGUUUUGGUUUUGUUGGGGUUUUUUUCCAUAUUCCCGCCCUACCUCCCCCCCUUCCCCCCACAGUUUUUAAAACUGAUGAUGUUUUAAAAAUCAUUUGAAAAAACACGUAUUUUAACAGUUUUCUAAUAAGAUAUGGGUAGAUUGAAAUCUAGUCUGAAGUUUGUUUUGUUUUUCUAUAAUGUUCCUCACUAAAAACUCGUUAAGCUCAGUAUUGCAAUUAAGUUCACAAUUUUCUAGCUAUGUUUCCUCCUUGAGACAGCUCAUGUAAUGAGCUGAGUUUCCUUAGAUACAGAUUUUAAAAUAUCAUUGCAUUCUCUAUGCCACUGACAGGAUUUUCAUGAUGGGUUUAAGUAUAUUUUUGUAAGUACAGGAGAUUUGAUGAGUUCUGUAUGCUAAAUUAUCUUUUUCUUCAGCUAAAUUAUGCCUGGAAUCUUCUCAUAUAAUUACUGCAUAUCUGUGCUUCUCCUGACCAGUCAUGCCCAAUUAAUGUAGAAAGGCAAUAUGUUCUUCUACCUUGGGUAACUGCUUGUUAAAAAUGAAUAUAUUUUCUGUUUGCAUAUCACAGUUAAAUGAAAGUUUUUUAUAUAUGAAAAUAAAAGAGAGAAAUGUAUUAUAUGACCUCUUUGAGUAUGGGACAAAUGGAGGUUAAAAGUGAUGGUUUUUUGAAAGCACAAUAUUUUAUUUCAUUGAAGAUGUGGAAUUUCCCUUCCUAAAUAUAGUUUCAUCUAUCUAGCCACUCUAAAUUCUCAAAAAGGAGGAAGGCUUUAGAUUUAAGAACACUGCAUCACAGAUGUUUUGGUCAUGAAAUGAACACUUACUAUCGUAUGAUGCUAAUUUACAUUUGAAUUUUAAUUCCACACAGAAGAUAUCCUUAUGCUGAAAGUACUGAUUGUAAUGUAUGUAGUGUAAUCUCUCUAAUUCCUUGCUCCCAAGUAAAGUUACUUAACCUGUAGUUACCCAAUAGCUUUUUGUUUUUCCAUAAAGCAUGGAGAGAUAAUGUGCAAGACAAUAUUUAAAAAUAAAACAAAUCAAAAUCAGAAUGAAACUAUGCUCAGUUGCAGAAACAUUCAGAAUGAUGCUGAGAAUCAAGUUUUAAAAAGUGACAUUAAGAAGAACAUUUACAGAAAAAGUCCUUGGAUAAUAAUUUCCUUCCGAACAUCUUAUUUGUGCUGUUUUGGUUUUGUUUUGGAUGGUUUUGAGGUUUUUUUUUGUUUGUUUUAUAAAAAGACUGUCUGUGUUUGAUUUUUGUCUAGUGACCAUGAUUGAUAUUGAGGACAGGAUAGGAAUACAGUUCGAAAUCCCUUGGUAGUAAGCAGUCUUCCAAAGUCUUAGAGGAAGAUGUGAUUUUAUUUUUUUUUUUAUGAGAAUUUGCUUUAGGCUAGACAUUUUAUCAAUGAUGUAGGCAAACUAGAGUGUUUACCUAGACCAAACGUGAAUGGAAUUAAUUGCCUGAUACCAAUGCUAUUCCCACAGUGCUCCAGGCUCUUCCUUGUAAAACUUAAAUGAGCAUCACAUAGUCUCUGCAAAUGUUAAACUUUUAUAGUUCUUUUAUUAAAUUACUCUCAAAUUCCUUCACUCAAAUUUUUAGUUUCUUUAGUAUCUUUCUGCAGUCUUAGACAGCAUACCAAAAUAAAAUACAGUUGGAACAUCUUACAAAUCUGGUGUUAUUCUAUCUAAACAAUUUGAAUAAUAACCAUUAGUAAUUUACUUUUCUUAAACACUUAAACCCAGACCUGCUUAGACAUCAAAAGUACUUAAAGAAUAAGUUACUGUUUAUUUGUCUAAAAUACAGAGUACAAGCUCAGUUUAGACUUUGGUGAACAUGUAUGACAUUGACUGCUCUCCAUGCAGGCAGUUUUGAAGGCAUUGAUGCUGACGCUCGGGACGUUUGCGUGCGGCUGGAAGCCAAUUGCAGCUUCUGCUGCUGCAGAAACGCAGCAGAAAACUGCGUCAGCUUGCAGGUCACAAACAAUGCUCUGAGCGUGUCUGGUAACAACGGGAAAGCGGAUUGCCGCGCACCGCAGCUAAACCCUUGUGUGUCUUUGCCUCUUGUGAGCUCCCUGUCAUUGCCGUGUGAUGCAGGGGGUGCUCCAUCGCUCUGGGGCGUUCUCCCGAACCCGAAUCGCAGCUCGGCUCGGCAGCCCGGCGGGGAGCGGGGCCGCAGGCACCACCCGCCUGGGCUGCAGCAAUUUCCAACCAAUCCUGCCCGGGAAGCAGCUUCCCUCCCUCCCUCCCUCCUCCUCCCUCUCCCUCCCCCAUCCCUUCCCUUCCAUCUCCCUGUGGUCGCCUUCCUUCCCUGCCGCCGCUUCCCGUCCUCCCGCCAGCCCCCAGUGGUUUUCCCUUCCUUAGCCCGCAGCCAGUGGCGAUGAAUGCGCUGGCCCACGCCGCGAUGGGUGACGAGCAUCCCGCUCUGGCUGCUGGUGAAACCAGCUUGUGUUUUGGAUGUUUCUAGUGUUCCUUUUACCAACUGCUUUGUGGUUUUUGACUGCCGUUUAUUUAUACCGUGGCUACUGCCCAGGCUAAGGGGGAAGGAAAAAAAACCAAACAAACUAAACCCUAAACAACUCACCACAAAACCAAAACAACCCAAGGAGCAGUUGGGGUGCUCCAGCUUGCUCUGUUACAACCUAUUACUUUGGUUCUGCAGGCUUCAAAGGUGAGAAAGCAAUGGAUCAUUCUACAUGAUAAAAUACGUGUAUCAGGAGCCCCUGAUCAUUGCAUCCUUCCCCUCCCCUUAUCCAGUCCAUCCUAGAAGACUCGAUGCAGGUAAAGAAACAAGCCUGCCAUAGUAACAAGGCCAAUGCAAAUAAACCUUUUUUCCUCUCCAGGAGGCACCUCUGUGUAUCAUCUUUGAGAAAUUGAUUGUUUCAGGCUUCUCUGCACUCUGUGUACAAUUGAUAUUUAUUUUCCCUUUUCAAAUAGAAAACAAGGCCUCUUCCUAUAGAAGCUACAAGUUUCUCCUGUCAUGGGAUUCCUCUAUGGCCUUCACAAGUAGUUUCUGAGAGAAUAAUGAGAAUACCAGCACAAACCAGGGUGCUAGAAACUUGGAAGCCCAGGGAAAAAAAAAAAAAAAAAGAACAGAAGUAGUUAAGCACUUGAACAGGAGGUUUUUUGAAGGUAAGUUUUUUGACUGUUGGUUUGGUUUUGUGUUUUGGCCAGGGUUGUGGGGACAGGAAGGGUAGAAUCAGCUUUUUGUUCGGGACUGUUUUGUUUUUUGUUUUUUUUUUUUUUUUUUUUUGAGGAGGGGAUCUGUUUGUUUUUUUUUUGGUUGUUGUUGUUUUUGUGGGUGUUUUUUUUUGUUGUUGUUGUUUUUGUGGUUUUUUUGGUGUUUUACGUUGUGGAAAAACCAAACUUCAUUCUCAGGACAUGCAUGUAAUUAAAUGGAUCAGUUUAUGAACUAUUUACCACCAGUGCUAGGGCUUGUGCAAGCAGCUAUGUAGCUCAGAUUUGGUUUCUGUGAGGAGAGAGAUGGCACCAGUUUCUUCUUUCCACACAUCAUCUUUCUUUCUUCUCUCUGAUUUCAAAAAAGCCUUUAGAGUAAGGAUCUAUUUACUUUAAAAAAAGUGCCUAUGGAAUUUAGACAGCAUUUCUGAUAUCAGAAACCUUUUGGUUGUUACUAAUUUUAUUAUUUGAUUGGACUACAAAGUUUGAUAGAUUUAACCACUGACCUCCUUGGUAGUAAAGAUAAGCAAGAACAUCUUCAGUCAGUAGUGGUCAUUGUUCUGAAGGUGUCCUAGUAUGGUUAGUAGAAAAGCCAUUUUAAGCAUUAAAUCAGUUUUAUCGCUUUUCUCAGAAAUUUCUUUACCUCUUGCAAUAGUUUAUUCAUUUAGAGGCCAGAAAUGUGCACACACACACCCAGAAAUGUGCUGGGUGGAACUAUUUCACAAAAUGCUACAAUUGUACAAAGAUACAAAAUCCUGUUUUAUUCUCUGUUUCUUGUCUGGUGAUUCUAGACAUUCAAGUAACUUUCAUUGUAAUUCUUCUGAGCAUUGAACACAUUUGUUUUAUUUGUGGUUUUCAAAUGUAGGAAGUUUUUUUUUAAAUUAGGAUCAAACUGGAAGGUGCAGUAAAGGUGGAAAAAUGUGAGAGGCCAUUCUGAAGAGCGAGUUAGGAAUCAGGCACAAGAGAAGGACAGGCAAUGAAAUUGAAAACUAUGGUUGAAAAAAAGUAAAUAAAUUAAAAUUCUAUUGUUAUUUAAUGACACCCAAAACACCUAGAGAGCCCAAGAUAUUAAUGCUAUACAGGUCAUGGCAAGUUCCGUGUUGCAUAUCAGGAAACCAAAGAUUUAUUUUGUUCCUCACCAAAAGGAUAGUUGGAUUUGCCAUUCGAUCACCCAAAUUAUUAUGACCCAGAAGUCCAAGUCCACGUCUAUAGGCAGUGAAAUUCCCAUUAGUCUGUGUGUGUGUGUGUAGAUUGCUAAUUGCCAAAGGACCUUGUAGCCACAAGAAGUUCAUACAGAAUAGAAACAGCAGUGGAUAGUGUUAAUAAGAUCAAAAUUUAAUUACUAUAUUUAAACAGAAAAAGGAACAAGCAUGAAAAAUGUUAUUACCUUGUAAUAUGUAAGCACCAUGGCUAAAAACUACAUAUAUUAUCUUAAUGUAAUUUUGAAUGCUCUGUCAGAGGUGGACUCUGCUGUGACUGGACAGGAGCUACCAUGAUCCAUGCUGGUGUCCAGCUUCCAGCUAGAGAAGUGCAACUCUAAGUACAUCAGCUCUGGCCUGAGCACACGCUGCAGGUAACUGUGUUAGCCUGGAGACCGAGGCACAGCCAGGAGAAAUCCUGCUGUGCCCUGGGGCAGACAGACAGCCCCACUGGGACACUAACCCAGGUUCAUCAGAUUAGUCCAGGUGAAUGAGAACAAAAAUUAGGAUGAAGCUGACCAAACUUCAGAGAGUCUGGCAGUAAUUUAGUUGCACACUGAGGUGUGAAAGGGGUGAUAGGGUGAUACUCCAUUAUUAUGUGGGGAUAACCACUGGCCAUGCUGACACAGGCAGUGCAGGGAUUGACAGCUUGGAGUCUCCAUGUCAGUAGGCCGCACAAAGCCUUUCUUUUGCUUGUACAAAAUUAACUUUCAAAAAUAUUUUCUUUUCCUCCCAGUGGAAUAAGACAAGUUAUGUAAUAUCUAGUCAUGUUGGUCAUCACUCUUGGUAAAAAUCCGUCUCUAUUUUUAGCUGGGCUUCUACAUUUCAUCUGAUAGUGCUCUGGGAUGCUCAUCUCCCUAGGAAGAUGAUGCAACAAAAGAUUAUUCCUUUCCCUCACAAAUGCUUCAUCUAAAUAAAGUAGCACUAUCAUAAGCUUUUGCUUUAGGAGAUGAACCAAAUCUGUAUCUCCAAUUUUCAGUAUUUCCAUCAGGAUACUUUUAGCUGAUUUAAAAAGCAAACCAUAGAGACUUUCUAAGUUAAUAUUAAUUCUCCUAAGGAAUAGAAACUACAUGUGCUGGCAGGUCCACUGAGAGAUCAGCAACUCCUUCCACUCAGCUAACAGCUUUCCUGAAAAGAAAAGCAGAUCAAUAAAGAGAAAACAAAUUUGAAAAUCACAUUAUUUCAACAGCCUCCUCAAGGGGAUGGUUGUCUUUUGGGAUGGACAGGAGUGUUGGGAGGAAUGUCAGGUUGAGAGAUUGAAAGCAGAUGCAGAGGGGAAGAGAAGUGCUAAAUUGCUGACACUCCUAGAGCGAGCAAAGAAGUGGAGUCAUUGUCCCACUCAUUCCUGCCAUCCCCAGCCUGUUCCUGCACUCCAGCACUCCCUGACUGCCUGCCCACAUCACGGGAGGUAGCUCAGGCUCUUCCAACUAAUGCUGCCCAUCUGGAAAAGGUUUUGCCCAUGCUUUUCUCCCAUUGUCUUGAUAAACAGGAAAAGAUGGAUGGAUGGAUGGAUGGAUGGAUGGAUGGACAGAUAAAAAUUUGUAGUCUGUAUACUCACCUGUUGGUUCUGAGUAAAACAAUAAUGCAUGUAGAUGAACCACCAGGAGUGAAGGAUGAACACUGGACAUUAAACAUGAGACUGGCCAUUAAAUAAAAGAUGUCAUAUAGGAAAUGAAGUGUUAUUUCAGAAUUCAGUGAAUUCAGAUUGCUUAGAACUCUUUUUUUCUUUUCCAUAGCAUUGAAAGGUUUGCAUUCCUGUAAACAGGUUGUUUGCUCUUCCUUUUGGUUUAAUUUUGUCUAUCUUCAGAAGUGUUCUAAUACUUCAAUAAUAUACACACUGCUACUUUAUACCCACAGAUGCUGGUAAGAAGUUUAGAAAAGUAACACACAAAUAAAUUUUCUAAAUUAAAACCAAGAAAAUUAAGCUACGUGACGUGGAAAAGAUAAAUUUGCAUAAGCAUUACAUGGACAACCUUGAAAUAUAGAAUAUUUCCUCAAAUAACCCAAGCACACUGUAAUGCACUAAUCUAUUUUAUGUAUUUGUAUGCUGCUGUCAUAUCUACAAGGAUUCUAUGUAAAUUUUUCCAUAAUAAAAAUUUAUUCUAUAUA